rnacentral:siRNA from 1 species
UCCUAAACAAAUCAUAAGCCUCA